UCAACUUAUGCCAGAAGAGGGCAUCAGAUCCCACUCUAGAUGGUUUUGAGCUACCAGGCGGUUGCUGGGAAUUGAACUCCAGACCUCCGGACCUCUUAGCCGCUGAGCCAUUGCUCCAGCCCCAGAGGAGUCCUUGAAGAACGCACAGGGCAUGCUCUGCCCCGACCAAGUGUGCCAUCCCUCCUCUAGGACGAAGCUGCCGGGGAGCGCUGCCUGCAAAGACUGAGUCCUGCCGCGAAGGGAGAAAGGAGACACUGGAGGUCAGGGCUAGGAGACGAGCCGGGGUGGGUGAAGCUCUGCGAAGACUUCAGGGCGCAGCGAGCCUUUCUAUGAAGUGCGGUCUAGAGCCCUUGCUUCUUUUUAGUAAUUAAAAAAAAAAGGUUAUGUGUGUGGAUGUUUUCCUUGCAAGCAUGUCUGUGCACCAUCUGAGCGACGGCCAUGAGAGAAGAGGACAUGGAGUUAUAGACAGAUGUGCGCCGCCAUGUGGGUGCCAGGCGUCCAGCUGCGGGGGGGCCCGGAAGCACUGAGCCACCUCUCCAGCUACCCCGCCCAAUCCAGGGCCUGGACAGCCGGUUUCUAUGACAACAGCUUCCCUGCAGGUUUUCCUAAGGUAAAGGGGACUGCAAUAGUCAUCACGGUGACUGCAGCAGGUGACGGCAUCCAUGCUGAGUGCCCUCCCUUGUGACAAGGAAUGCCAGAAGCUUUGGAGGAAACAUAUGCCCCUUCCUGGGGCUUGGAGCAAAUCUUCAACCCACCCUGGGAACAGUGCAGGCCUAUACCCUGGUCAAUGAGAAUAAGGCUGGGGCAGAGAGGGCAUCAUACCAGCCCUCCACCUGCUGUUUGCUGAAGGCGGAGCAUUCCGAGGCUAGGACUCAGUCAUGUCACCUGUCCAUCUCAGGCCUCCCCUGUGCUAAGGAUCAGCACACUGUCAACUGUCACUGAGCUGCUGAGCUGGCGGCCUCUGCCCCAUGGUCAGGGUGGUGCACUGGGAUCCGCAAUCAGCCUGUAACCAGCAAAAAAUGCCAAUGUCUCUGUUGAGCGCCUUGUUCAAAACAGUGGGCCCCAAGGGUGGAGCUGGGGUUACUUCACCUGAAGAGAAGUUUCCAAGGGAAGGAGGCCAGGGCAUUGUUCCAUCCCAUAGGUCCAAAGACCAGAGUACAAGUUGUGAGGAUCCAGUUUCCUCAGCUGGGGACGACAGGAGUGCUUGGCAGUGGCCCUCACUCCUCACUGGCCCAGUUAGCUGAAUUGUCAACAGGGUGUGCAGACAGACUUGGGGACAAGCUGGGGACAGACACAGGGUUUGGUUUGCUGCAGGAGACACUCUCUGUUCCUUGUGUGUGUGUGGGGUGGGGGCAGGUACCUUCGGGAGAGAAGCUGAGGAGGAAAACUGUGCACUGGAGUGCAGUUGUAAACCAGGCACCCCACCCACCUCCCAGGCAGUGGCAAGGCCUGGGGAAGCCGGGAGAGCCAGGGGCGCUCUGUGUGCAUGGCACAGCACAGAAGGAAGGGGCUGCAUUGGAUGGGAGCCCCGGGUCAUGCUGGCUGAGGCACAGAGAGAAGAGCUAGGUAGGCCUGAGGGGGCCCCCAAGCCUCACCCUCUGGGGCCUCUGCUCCCUACCCAGCCACUAGAUGCCUGGGCAUCUGGAAAAUCUCACAAUCAGCCAGAGAGUAGAAAAAAUACCUUUUUAUUAAUUAUUAGGAAUAAAUCAUUCAUUUAAUGCAGGGUGUGUGUCGGGGUGAGCUAAGCGUUUCCACGUGGACAAAGGGAAACGUGCAGGACAGUGGUCGGAGGGGACAUCCCCACUGCCCAGACCAUAGACAGCAAACAUGAACAGAGAGAAUCACGAAGUGCCCCCUCACGUCCCCUCCCAUCUUGUCCUUCCAGCAGAGUCUAAACAGGGUCCCUAGAGGUGCCAGGGCAUCUGGAAGUGCUGGGCCGGGAGCGGGGUGCAGUGUGUGGCUUCAAAGUUGUGUAGGUGCUUCCGGGCCUGAGGAGGAAAGGCAGAGCGUGGGUGCGGGGCAACCCCUCGGAACCCUCCGCCACUGUAGGACCCCGCGCCCAAGGCCUGCAUGGCCCCUCCAUUCAGGCCCCCCCUUCACCCCACUCCUGCGCUCACCAGGAACAGCGCCAGCUGCCUCCGUCCAUCGGUACUCAUGUCCUCCCCUGCGGAGGAGAAAAGGCCUCAAGUCCACCAUCGGGUCCGCCCUCCCCCUCUCACCCCGCCAUGCCGCCGACCGGCCGGGGGAGGCCUCCUUACCCACACUCCAGGGGAAGUCGGGCCCAUGCUCUGCCUGGUAGGAGUGAAGCACGGACAGACACCAGUCCUCCUCCACCUCCCACCGGCUGUAAACUGAGGCUGGUCAGGGAGAAACAGGAGUGUGGGCCACAGCCCUCCUCACCCCCCCCCCCCCCCCCCCACCCCCCCCCCCCCCCCCCCCCCCCGUGCCGUCUCAGCACCGAGGUGUGUCCACCCCCAGCCCUCACCUCACUCCCCCCACUCCACCCCACCCCGGUGCCGUCUCAGCACCAAGGUGUGUCCAUCCCCAGCCCUCACCCCCCCAUUCCCCCCCCACCCCCAGUGCCGUCUCAGCACCGAGGUGUGUCCACCCCCAGCUCUCACCGGAACUGCAGGAGCUUCAGCAGGAGGUCAUUGCCUCUGUUGGACAUGAUGUCCUCAGGAACCCUGGGGGCAACAAGCGUUACCUGCUUAGGGGAGCUGGGGAACAAGAGUCUGGGGACCUAGGGACACGGUGGGCACAGGUGGAGGGGAAGGAGGCCAGGCACUCACGUGGUGGUGAUUAUCUCAUCCUUGGUUCUCCGGAUCAGCAGCACUGGGCCCUGGAACCUUCAGGACAGAGCAGCAGGAGAGGAGAGCUCAGAGACAGCCAGGCCACCACUGAGCAGAGCGAGAGAUUGAAGAAGGGUGCAGGCCCAGACUGGCCCCGGGGAAGGCCCCUGCGGAGCCAGGCUUAACCCUCAUUGCCAGAUCACCAGUGAGGAGACCCGGGGUCUCACAGGACCUGGGAAGGGUUGGACCAGCGAAGGUGGUGGCAGAGUGACUUGGGACAUGGGCCGGUGGCCACUUCCGCUCUUCCCCUCGGCACAUCUCCACACCCAGGCGCCCGCGGCCUGCCCUCACCUGCACAGCUGCUCCGAGUUGUUGAGGUUGAGGUGCUGUCUCACCGUCCUGGUCACCAGGACUCCUGGAGUGGGACAAGUGAGGGCGGCAGAGGUGAAGACCCCGCCUAACAAAAGGCUGGCCCGUCCAUGGGGCCGGACCUCGUCAGAAGAGCCCCUGGGCUGGCCACCCUCCCCUGGAAGGACAGACAUGGGCGCUGCACUCACUCCAGCUGUCCGGCAUGACCUUCAAGGCCAAGGGCACCAAGUCAUCGAAGGAGGCGUCCAGGAUGACAGCACUGAUGUCUGGGUAGGACAUGGCUGCCCACGUGGCUGGGAGAACGGGAGGGGACGAGGGACGCUCAGAGGUGCAGAUAGGCGCCUCUCACUUGGGUCCCUCUUACCCACUCAGCCUUUCCCCGGAAGCCUCCACCCCCACCGCCUGUGCCCACAUCUCCUAGGCAGGGACAGGACUCCGUAAGGGGAUUAGCUGGGGCGGCAGCAGGUACCGGUGAAACCUCCGAUGGACCAGGCGUAGAUGACAAUGUCCUGGGGCUGGAAGCCCAGGCGGUGGAUGGCAAACUGAACUACCACAUCCAUGGCGUUGGCCUCAUUUUGUGGGAACGGCACCCCCUGCAGGAAGACGGGCAGAUGCGGGACGGGUCAGCCAGAGGACAGCUCACCUAUCAGGCAGCCACCCUGUAACACAGAGAUUCGUGACCCCCUGUGUCCCUCUGCCUGUCAUGGGAGGAGGGGCUGCAGCCCCCAGGGCUUCCCGGAACCCAGGUCACGGCCACGUGGAAGGCAGGCCGCACACGGGCACCCCAGGUCACGGCCAUGUGGAAGGCAGGCCGCACACGGGCACCCCAGGUCACGGCCAUGUGGAAGGCAGGCCGCACACGGGCACCAGCUUCCUUCUUCCCAUGACUGACCAGAGGAAGACACACACGAUUCUGGAAAAGGCCGGGUCUCCAGAGGUCUCACCGUGCUU